CCUACGGGUGGCUGCAGUGGGGAAUAUUAGACAAUGGGGGCAACCCUGAUCCAGCCAUGCCGCGUGUGUGAAGAAGGCCCUCGGGUUGUAAAGCACUUUCAGUGAGGAAGAACGCCUGGUGGUUAAUACCCAUCAGGAAAGACAUCACUCACAGAAGAAGCACCGGCUAACUCCGUGCCAGCAGCCGCGGUAAUACGGAGGGUGCGAGCGUUAAUCGGAAUUACUGGGCGUAAAGCGCGCGUAGGUGGCUUGAUAAGCCGGUUGUGAAAGCCCCGGGCUCAACCUGGGAACGGCAUCCGGAACUGUCAAGCUAGAGUGCAGGAGAGGAAGGUAGAAUUCCCGGUGUAGCGGUGAAAUGCGUAGAGAUCGGGAGGAAUACCAGUGGCGAAGGCGGCCUUCUGGACUGACACUGACACUGAGGUGCGAAAGCGUGGGUAGCAAACAGGAUUAGAUACCCCAGUAGUC
rnacentral:rRNA from 1 species